rnacentral:tRNA from 1 species
GGUGGCUCAGUGGUGGAGUGCUUGCCUUGCAUGCAUGAAGGCCUGGGUUCGAUUCCUCAGCACCA